UGGCUCUCGCAUCGAUGAAGAACGCAGCGAAAUGCGAUAAGUAAUGUGAAUUGCAGAAUUCAGUGAAUCAUCGAAUCUUUGAACGCAACUUGCGCCCUCUGGUAUUCCGGAGGGCAUGCCUGUUUGAGUGUCAUGUAGUAUCAAUCCUCCAGGUUUUCCUGGAAAGAUUGGAUUUGGGUGUCUGCCAUUCCUAAUGGCUCGCCUUAAAUGGAUUAGUGGAAAGAUUGACCUAAAUUGGGAGUAAUAAGUUUCUCUUGAUCAAGUUGAUUAGACCGCUCAUAACAACUAUAUUUAUGACUCUGACCUCAAAUCAGGUAGGACUACCCGCUGA
rnacentral:misc_RNA from 1 species